rnacentral:rRNA from 1 species
AAGCGGAGGAAAAGAAACUAACAAGGAUUCCCCUAGUAACGGCGAGUGAAGAGGGAUCAGCCCAAAAUUGUAAUCUGGCUCUUUCAGAGUCUGAGUUGUAAUUUUAAGAACUGUUUUCUGCUCUGGACCAUGUACAAGUCUGUUGAAAUGCAGCAUCAUUGAGGGUGAGAAUCCUGUUCAUGAUAUGGACUACCAGGGCUUUAUGAUACAGUCUCUAAGAGUCGAGUUGUUUGGGAAUGCAGCUCAAAGUGGGUGGUAAAUUCCAUCUAAGGCUAAAUAUUGGUGAGAGACCGAUAGCAAACAAGUACCGUGAGGGAAAGAUGAAAAGAACUUUGGAAAGAGAGUUAACAGUACGUGAAAUUGUUAAAAGGGAAACAGUUGAAGUUAGACUUGUUGUUGUUGGUUCAGCUCUUUAAGGGUGUUUUCUGAUAAUUAACAAACCAACAUCAAUCUUUGGGUGUUGGAUAAGGGUCAUUGAAAUGUAGCAGUCUUGGCUGUGUUAUAGUCUUUGACUUGGAUACAAUGCUUGGGAUUGAGGAAUGCAGUAAGCCAUUUAUUUGGUGGGACAAUUUAUUGUUCUUCUUACUGAGGAUGUUGGUGCAAUAGCUUUAAUUGACCCGUCUUGAAACAACGGACCAA